rnacentral:ribozyme from 1 species
UGUAUUACCAGAAGAUGAUACAGUAUCCGUUGUCUCUAGGAGGCUACUAUAGGCUAUAGGGAGGCUCUCCUUCUCAACUCCUACUCAAUACGUCCACGACGUGUAGAACGGUAACUUGUCGCAUAGAUAUCCUAGCUUUGGUACACGGGGAAACCCAACCCCUUGAACGGAUGGGCGGCAAGGCUGAUUUGAGAGGU